rnacentral:tRNA from 1 species
CUGGUCUUGUAAACCAGUAAUGAAAAAACCUUUUUCUCAGGACA